CUCAGGCUGAAGCCGAGUACUUUAUAUUAUCUCACAAUAAUCGGACUUCGACACACUCGACCCCAGCUCAGUAACUUUUACCUACUCUUAGUUAUUUGAUCUCUCUCUACGGGUUGCCUUAUAACAUACAUAAAGAGUUCCUAAACAUGCUAGGAAAGACUUUAUAUUUCAUUAAGAAGAGUAAAUAUGUACAAACAUUUACAUUUGAACUAGAAAAAAAGAUCUUUACUCAAACUUUAAACAAACCGAAAAUAAGUGGUCGCAAAGUUGAAUAACGUUUAUUCUUUAAAAACACAUAUUAAUGAUAUUUUUUAAAGAUCAUUAUAUGAAUGUUCGUUCGUGAAUUGCAGUUAACGCCUGAUAAGAAACUUUAAUCUCUAAUUAAAAGUUGCUUGAAAGCAAAACGCUGCUCGAUAAGCACGCAAAAUGACUGACUGGAAGGCCGGGCAGAAAAAAUUACAGUUCGAAAAAAUGUUACUUCUAUAAUGGUCUUUUGUUCUAGCGUACUCUGCAUCGGUGCGUACUUGAACCGGGAACCUUUUGCAUCAGAGACAGACCUUACCAAUUGGUCUAUCACACAACAGGAGGUCAUUGCAGAUGAAAUAGGACGCGUAAUCCAAGCUGUUGCCCUUCAUUGUGGGAUUUCACCGACAGGAAGCAAUACCACAACAGGGGCAAAUCCGCAGAAUAGUUGAAGUGUUGGAGGAGAUCCACUAGAGAAUCCCAGUGGGAAGGAACAUGCCGAGUGGGACUUCGCUCUCUACAAGAACAUCCUGCCGGGGGUGGCCUCUCAAAGAAAAACCAUCAGUAAUAUGAUCUCCGAUGACCUCUCCAUUAGGACUCCGUACACCAUCAGAUACUUGGCAGCUUAGGCGGAGUUGAAGGACCCGCUGACUUCUAUAGAGAGGAGGAAAAUAAAGCGCCCGCAGUUGGUGAAGCCAUAGCCAGCCACUGCCAGGAUUGUGGCCGACUUCCUGCAGCAUCAGCGGAUCAACCCCGUUCCCAAUCCGGGUCCCACUUUCCCAAGGUCCAAUAUGCCUAUUGGAACUCGGAGCUGGACUGUGGUAGCGCGGGAAAGAUGGGGAAGCAUCCGUGGGACGAGAAGGAAGCUUUA